rnacentral:rRNA from 1 species
UACGUAGGGUGCGAGCGUGUCCGGAAUUAUUGGGCGUAAAGAGCUUGUAGGCGGUUUGUCGCGUCUGCUGUGAAAUUUCGAGGCUCAACCUCGAACUUGCGGUGGGUACGGGCAGACUAGAGUGUGGUAGGGGAGACUGGAAUUCCUGGUGUAGCGGUGAAAUGCGCAGAUAUCAGGAGGAACACCGAUGGCGAAGGCAGGUCUCUGGGCCACUACUGACGCUGAGAAGCGAAAGCAUGGGGAGCGAACAGG